CCUACGGGUGGCUGCAGUCGAGAAUUUUUCUCAAUGGGCGAAAGCCUGAAGGAGCGACGCCGCGUGGGGGAUGAAGGACUUCGGUUCGUAAACCCCUGUCACUUGGGAACAAACCCUCCGGCUUAACACGUCGGAGGCUGAUGGUACCAGGAGAGGAAGGCACGGCUAACUCUGUGCCAGCAGCCGCGGUAAUACAGAGGUGCCAAGCGUUGUUCGGAUUUACUGGGCGUAAAGGGUGCGUAGGCGGUCGGAAAUCCCGGGGCUUAACCCCGGAACGGCGCUCGAAACUGCGUGGCUAGAGGUCUGGAGAGGUGACUGGAAUUCUCGGUGUAGCAGUGAAAUGCGUAGAUAUCGAGAGGAACGCCAGAGGCGAAAGCGGAUCACUGGACGGAACCUGACGCUGAGGCACGAAAGCCAGGGGGGCAAACGGGAUUAGAUACCCUUGUAGUC
rnacentral:rRNA from 1 species